GAGCAAGAGCAUCGAUAAUUGAUGUAUAUUGCAUUGAAGGUUGGCAAAAUCGAACUCAAAAGGCGAUUCUCCGUGCCUAUCAAAUCAUUCCGUUUUGAAUAUGGCCUCGAACAAGUCGCUACAUU